rnacentral:tRNA from 1 species
ACCCUGUCAGUAUGGUGGAUAUGACCCUCGGCUUGUAACCGAGUGGGCUCGGGUUCGAAUCCCGAAUAAGGCA